UACGGAGGUGGCGAGCGUUGUCCGAAGUUACUGGGCGUAAAGCGCGCGUAGGCGGGCUAAUAAGUCGGAAGUGAAAGGCUGGGGCUCAACCCCAGCAGUGCUCCCGAUACUGUUAGUCUUGAGGGCGGCAGGGAGAAGUGGAAUGGCUGGUGUAGCGGUGAAAUGCGUAGAUAUCGUUUGGAACGCCAAUGGUGAAAACAGGUUGCUGGGAGUGUGCUGACGCUGAGACACGAAAGCCAGGGGAGCGAACGGG
rnacentral:rRNA from 1 species